rnacentral:lncRNA from 1 species
UUUUUUUUUGGUUAAAUCUUUAACGAAUAUGAAUUUCCAAAUCAAGUUAAUUUUCUAACUACUAGUUAAUAAUAAUGUAUUUGAAAGUUUCCAGGUGCAGUACUAACAUGCAUUCAUACGCUGCAGAACCAACAGAUGAGGAAUGAGCAUGGGGUCUGAUCUUGGUAAAAAGUGUCGAGCCGGAGCCGAAGCAGGAUCAUGGGGUGCAAGUCACUUAGAAUUUUAGGGGGGCAUGAGGGUAGACAGAUCGAAUAUAAUGGGAAAAUUGCCUGCUCUCUGAUCUAAUUCCCACCACACAUGCACCACCUGUUUGCUAUUUGGCCUCCAUUCAGUUAUAUAAGACCAUCUCUUACAGAACUUAUCUGAUCUAUGUUCACUUUUAGCAGUUUUCCCAUUCGAUCACCAUACAUCUAUGGCAAGGUAAAAUAAAGAGUAAUAUACAAAGCUACCUUGGAAGAUGAUUUCAAAUCUAACAAGGUUAGUGUGUUUAGAAGGUAUUGGCCAUCGGGAGGGGAAAGUGAACAUGAUGGAAGAUUGAUGGUGGUAUAAUGUAGGUUAGUGGGUUUUGUGGGAUAGGUAUUCUGCGUGUGAAUUUGUUAUGAUAGUGGAGAGUAUAGCGUGAGUACUUAAUUAAUUGUUGUCGUGGAUUUAUUAUGGUUCGCUAAUGGAUUUCAUAUGAUGUGGCUCGAUCAUGUCUUUGUUUGUAGUUAAUCCUUAUCCGAUAAUGGAUUUAUUAGCAAGAAACAUGUCGAAUCUCUAAUGUCCUUAUGCACGACAUGGAUCGUGCUCUAGUCACCUCGCUCCUUCAUCCCUAACAAACAUAAUAAUACCUGGAACCACUAUAAGAGAAAUACUCGUCCGUGCCGGCCAUUUGAGAGCAGAUAUGGACAUCCAUGGCGGCCUAAACACGAGCAGGCACGAAAAACCCAUUAUCAGUGCCCGCUCCAUUUAGAACCAGCAUGAAUGCUUUCUAGGAUUAUUCGUGCCGUCUCAAGAUAGAGAUGGCAAGCAUAAUGAAUCUAUAAUAGCUGACACGGAUAUCAGAUCAAUAUAUUAGGCAGCAAGCUAAGGAUAAUCCAUUAUCCAUGAUGGCUUUUGGCAUGAAUAAUUUUUCCAACUCUGCAGUUUGAAUUUCAGGUUGUCUUGUAAAAUUCAUAAUUUUUGUAUACAGAUUGAGAUGGAGAUAAACUUUAUAUGAAAAAUUGUAGGUUUUAACCGGAACUACAACGUUGAAAAAUUUUGGAUUUGAAACCAAUUAGGUGCCAAAGUUGUAGACAAUAAGGGUUAAAAGGAAUUGAACUCCUUAUCGCCAUCAACGAUGUUGAUGUGGGAUGGUAAAGGAAGGAUCUCGACAGGUCGUGAAUUCGAAGUGGCUACAUGCACCAGCAUGCAUGUGCAUUUCACGAUAUAUUUUGUUAUUUGUUUGUAAAUUCCUAUUCUAACUAUCCGCGAUGGUUGAUAUAUUUUGUUAUUUGUUUGUAAAUUCCUAUUCUAACUAUCCGCGAUGGUUAAUAUAAUCGCCGGAAUGGAUACUUAUUGUACGCCGGCACGGCCAGCACAGAUAUGACGAGUAUCUGCAUCAGUUUCGUUACACCGGUCGAUAACUGCCAUGGAUGAUGUUUAAGAACCGGCACAAAUAAGGUGCUCUCCAAUAGUAAACAAUUAUGGUUCGUCGAUUUGGGUGUCCCUGACUAUGUAACACCGGCAGGCCAUAUGGGUAUAGUGAUACGGCGAUACGAGAGCGUGGUGAUAUAGUCUUUCGAAAAAACAUAGUGAUGAUAUAGACAAAAUAUUGGAGUAUCGGGUACAGGUACGACUGGGUUAGUGAAGAAUUAUUGAUGCACUGCCUCGUUAAUAAUAAAAUAAGUGUCCUUUUAGAAAAUAGUAAUGGUUCAGGACAUGAGGUUAGUGGGCAACUAGAAUUAAUUGCUUCAUAUGAUGUCAAGUCAUUCGGAAUGUUCGUUCAUCAUACAUCUAAUGGUGAGAGGAAUUAUAGAUUUUUAGACUAAAUCCGAUGGUUGAUGACUAGAUAGAUCCUGAUAAUGUAGGAUGAAUUAGUUAUUGAAGAUUAUCUAUAGUAAACUCAGAGUGUUUUAAAGAAGCAUGGGCAUUCAUUUUUGUGUUCAUUGAUCUAUUUUCUCUACCUCUGUCUUUCCUUAUUCGCCGCUUUGUCCUCUAUUGAAAAAGUUACCACUACCUACUUCCUCCGUACCAAAAUAAGUAUCCGUUUAGAAAAUCUCACAUGUAGGAUGUAAAAUGUCCUAAUUGUCCAUAAUUAAUUUGUUUAGUUGGUUUUUAAGAGCCGAGCUAGCUUAUAGAUUUCCGAAGCCAUUUAAUUAUGCAUGCAUGUAAUUAACUCAGCAUCCUCAAUGUAGGGAGGCUUGUUCCACUUCCAAUCAACUCAUGACUUAUAAAGGGUAGAGAUGGUAACCCUAUUAAAUUUUGCCAUCCCAAAUCCAUACCUACUUAAACCCGUUAAAAAAAAUCCAUAUACCCAUGACGGAUAUAAAAUUUUGCUCAAACCCGUCCUGGUUGGGUUGCCCACUUGUCCAACAGCACCCAUAUAUUGUUGUACCUCUACCAUUGCGGCUUGUAGCUUACCAAUGGCCAAUGCAUACAUGUUCUUCUCAUGAUUAACGACAAUUUAAACAUCGAAUAGAGGCAAAAAGUUUAAUAUAAUGAUCAACAAGUUCAUAGUUUAAAAAAUACAAAAAAUGAGCAAAAGUUCAUAGUUCACUACAUAAAGUAGUGGAGGGAAUAAAACUACAAGUAACAAAUUCAGUAUUUCAAGUGGCAUGGUAUAAACAUCACGUUUGUUACAAGGUCACAAAAUAAAAUGAUUGUAUGCACUAGGUUUGACCGAGUUUAAAAAGUCUUGGGUUUAUGGGUUCAAAUGAGAACUGACCUUCCAUCCAACCCCUUUUGUCCCGGUUAAUAUUUAGCCCGUGACAAAAGUAGCUUUAGUCCCGAGUCAAAAAUGUACCCCGAAGGCCACCGCGAGGGGAGAGCUUUAGUCCCGGUUGUAAACACCAACCGUGACUACAGAUCCCCUUUAGUCCCGGUUAAAAUGACUAGAAAUAUCGCAGCGGGAGCCCAACCCUUGUCCUAGUUGGAAACGCCAACCGGGAUAAAAUACUCCCCCCCUUUUGUCCCAGUUGGUAAUUCCAACCAAGAUAAAAGGGGAAGUCUUUUGUCCCGAUUGGAAACUCCAGCUGGGAUAAAAUUAUCAACCGGGACAAAAGGGGGUCUUUUAUCCCGGUUGGAAACUCCAACCAGGACAAAACACCCCCCUCUCUCGUUCCGCCCCCCCUCCACCGGCCUUUAUCAUAUCUCUUCUCUCUCUCACGCCGCUCCCUCCAACUCCCUUCCUCCUCUUGAUCCGGCCCUUUAUCUCUUCUCUCUCUCUCUCUCACGUCUCGCCCCGGCCCUCCCACUCCCUUCCUCUCCCAGGCCCUCCCCCUCCCUCCUGGCGCCGCCACCCCCCUCCCCCUCCUCUCCCGCCCUCGGCCUCCCACUCCCUUCCUCUCCCAACCCCUCCCCAGUCCUCCCCCUCCCUCCCAGCGCCGCCGCCCCCUCCCCCUUCCUCUCCCGCCCCUGGCCUCCCCCUCUGCUGCCCCUCUACUUCCCCCUCCGCUUGCCCCUCACUGGCAAUGAGGGGCGAGCAGCGGGGCGAGGUGCAGGGCAACGCAGUGGCGCACGGGGGAGCAGCGUCCAAUGGCGGCGGGAGUGCUUGCCCCCUCUCUCCCCCUUCCCCCAUCUCCCUCUUUUUUUUGCACAGGUGGUGGUGGCGGUGGCGGGCCGGGUGAGCAGCGGGUGGCAUGGUGGCGGCGGGCGUGGUGGUAGCGGUGGCGGCGAGGCAGCAGGCUGCAGCGGCGGGAGUGCUGGCCCCCUCUCUCUCCCUGUCCCCCCAUCUCCCUCCCUCUCCCUCUUUUGUUUUACACAGGUGGUGGCGGCAACGGCGGGUCGGGUGAGCAGCGGGUAGUGUGGUGGCGGCGGGCAUGGCGGUGGCGGCGUGGUGGCUGCGGGUGGCAUGGCAAGCAACGGGCGGUGUGGUGGCGGCGGACGUGGUGGUGGCGGCGGUGGCCGGGCAAGCAGCGGGCGGCGGGGCGAGCCACGGGCGAGUGGUGACGUGGUCAAGGCGCGUGUAGGGUGGGGUUUUUUUAUUUUUUCUGAAACCUUUUAGUCCCGGUUGGUUUUACCAACCAGGUCUUUAGUCCUGGUUGAAUGAACCAGGACUAAAGACCCCCCCCCCCCCUCAUCUCGUAUCCCGAAUGGUUUUUAGAGAAAUUUGGCCCCUGCCAACCAAGACUAAAGCCAAGGUUUCCAGUAGGGACUAUCUACCAGACCCAUGCAUGCAAACCUAAAAAGUAUAUUUUUUUCAUUAAUAGAUCUACAGAUUUAUGGGUAGAAAAAUUUAGGGCGUUGCUAGUGCCCGGACAUCAAAAAAUAACGUCUGCAACAUAGAAAAUAAAUGUUUGCAACAUAGAAAAUCACUUUUUGCAACAUCACAAAAUAUGUGGAAAAAAAUUAUUAGCUAUUUGUUGAUGAUGAGGAAAAAAACCGCCGCAACAUCUAUUUCAUAUUGCAUGGAACAUUCAAAUCUCUCAUUGAAAAUGCAACAUCCAGAUAAAAUACUUGCAACAUGUGUGUGAAACAUAUGCAACAUCACAACAUUUAGAUCUACUUUGCAACAUCCACAUAAAGCACUUGCAACAUUCUUCUGAAACAUCUGAAGCACUUGAAACAUACGCUUGCAACAUGCAGCAAACCCUGGCACGAGGAGCACGGCACAGCGAGAUCUGACGUUAGGAAACAGUGAAGGAGGAGGAGGAUUGCGGCGGCCGGCGCGGCUCCCCCUUGCCGCGGGAGAGCGGCGCUCGGCACCCUUCCUCGUGGAGCUCCUCAGGCGGCCAAGCCCAUUGCCGGCGGCGCCACUACAUCGCUCACCGCAGAUCGCAUAGGCCGCCACCAUUGCCGAGCUAGAACUCUGCCUCGUAUGGGGAUCUUAUCGUCACCAUCGGCGACCUUGCUUGGAUGAGGGUCGUGUGCAGAGGGGCCACACCACCGCAGCUCAGGCAAGAGCUUAUCUGGAUUGGAAGUAAGGGAGAGAGCCAGGAGAGAUAAAUGAGUGGUUGAAGCUCGAGCUCCAUUGGCUACUGUCUUGCAGGUUGCAGCACUCAGCAAGCAGGGAGAAAGAAGAGAGGAUUUGGUUGGUUGCUUGGUGGCUGUGUUGGAAUGGGUGGGAGUCAACGAGCAGGGAUAAGAACGACUGGACGUGAACUCGCUGCUAAUUGUAUCAGAAGAAGUUUCGGAUCCGUCGACAUCUGUCCGAUAUUUUUACUCUCGUCCAGACACUUGUAUUAUAGCAUUAUCGAAAAAUUUACUCUAAUAAUAAAGUAAAAACCUAUUAGAUUUCAGGUACCCAUUGUCAUGCGAGCGCUGACAAAGUUAACAUGUGGGUCUUACUUAAAUUAGUCUAAAACGUGUAAAUGCACUUUUGUGGGAUAAAAUUUGAACCCGGAAAGAUCAUUUAUUUUGGAAAGAGAGGGAGUAGACCUUAAUCUAGCGUGUAUAAACAGUUCACCAGGAUCAAAUUACAGCUAGCUUCACCCGGCCCUGAACCAUCCUAGAUCCUCGCUACAGCUAAGGAAAGGGCAAAAGCUUCAAUCAUGAUGCGAAUUGGACGAGCAGCGCUCGGACAUUCAGGUGCUGAGUAGCCAUAAAACACUCCGUUGUUCAUUAUUAGCUUUUCUCGAUAAUUGGGAUUGACUCCCAAAUACCUCAACUCAGACACAAACACGUAGCAGUGGUGGUGACACCGAUGGUCAUGACGUGAGCUCGUGACCUUAGAUCCAGCCAAGUGCUAAUAUACGAAGUACUAAAGUUUAGCAUUAAUUCACUAAAUGGAGGAUUAAAACUCCAGCCCGAGAGCAGUUCUGGUGCUCCAGCACCUUUAGGUGCUCCCGUACUCCCAAAGAAAAUUACUGCAAAAUGGUGCAUGGAAAAAUUAACCAAAAAUAUAGAUGCAUAGAUGAUGCAAGGAUCUAUGUUUAUGCAAAAUUUGGUGUUGAACAAAAUUUUGUUCAAGGAGAAACAAAAAAAAAGAGAAAUGAGCCUAUGAAUAGUGCGGGUUGCACUGUUUUUCUGAAACCCGAAAUCCGCUACUGUUUAAAAACUGGUUUCACUUUUUUUUUUCUCCUAGCACAAGUAUCCAUUGCAACUCAAAAUUUGCAUGAUGGUAGAUGCUUGUUUGUAGUAUCCAUCCAUACUUUUUUUUGCAAUUUUUCAUGUGCAUCUAGUGGUGGUUUUUUUUAAUGGGAGUAUAGGAGUACACGAACCCGUGGAGCACCAUAACUGCUGCCCUCCCUAAAAAGUUGUAAAAUCAUUAGCUGGUAGAGGAGAACUAAUGGAUGCUAAUGAAAACUAGCAGUUUAGAAAAAGAUCAAAAUACUCCAAUUUUAAUGAAAAGAUCAAAAUACUCCAAUUUUAAUGAAGGAGAGAACAAAGAUAAAAGUGACAUUUUAUAUACUUUAGCUAUCAUAUUUUCGAACUGAUAUGGACUAAAUUUAACAAAUUAAAUUUUCGCAAGCUGAACUCUGGUGCUAAAUUUAGUUUUAGCGAGGACCUUAUCCGAUUAUCCGCUGUUAACGAAAAGCUCCAAGCCGUCACGCUCGCAUCCAUCCCCAUCCCCAUUCUCCAACGGCCACCCAUGGCCACCGCCACCCUCGCCGCUCCGCCUUUCCUCCCUUCCUCACCGCCGGCGCCAGCACGGACGUGGACGAGGAGGAGGAUGAAGACUAGGCCCUUCCUCCGCGCCGCGUGCGCCUACGCGCUCCAGGAGGGCCAGUCCCGCCGCUUCCACCGCCUGCCGUGCGGCCUCGACCUCGAGGUCAUCGCCCAGCCCCCGCCGGCGCCCGGAGAGCGCCCGCCGCUGGUGUUCGUGCACGGGAGCUUCCACGCGGCCUGGUGCUGGGCCGAGCACUGGCUUCCCUUCUUCUCGCGGGCCGGGUUCCCCUGCUACGCCCUCAGUCUCCGCGCGCAGGUACAUAAUCGCGCGCGAUGUUUGUCGAAAUGCUUCAGUAGGUAGUGUCAUUGUCAUUGGUGAUUCAGGGCAAUGCAAUGACUACAAAUUCCAGCCUGUGGAUGGGUCUACAUGUCUUGCAUUUCAUCUUAGAUAUAUGAUUCAGUACACUUCAACUGAACAGUUGGUUGUUGCAUUGCCUGAUUGCCAGUAUCUGUUUGUAGGGCAUUUGACAUUAACAGCUUCCGUGACUUAGUUCGGGACUUUUGCAGGGUGAAAGUAGUGUUCCACAGGAGGCAGUAGCAGGCACACUCGAGGUAAUUAGUCUAAGCAGAAGUGGAGUACAUUCAAAGCAAUCUCAAUUGUUCUAGGUUACUUGAUGCUGUUCAGUCGGUCCAUUCUUACUGCUACUCGUCUUACUGUUAAUGUGUGACAGAUGUAUGAUGGGGUAACAUUACAUGCAAUAUAUUAAGUACUCAAAUUAUAGGUCGUUUUGGCUUUUCUAGGUUCAUAGGUGUUUAUACAAACACCUAUGAACCUAGAAAAGCCAAAACGACCUACAAUUUGAAAUGGAGGGAGUAUAUGUCUUUACCUAUUGAACACGUUAAAUGUUUUGUUUGAAGUAAUACACUGAGAGAUAUCAAACAUGUACCAUGAUCAAAGUUUCAAGUGCCGUCACAUGAGGAAUUAAUAUGUUUAAGCCAAAAAUUUCACUAUAAUACUUUACUUCGUGCUGUAGAACUGGCCCAUUUCAUUUCUUACUAGAGUUAGGCCAAUAUGUGAUUGACUUGCAGUAGACGCAUACUGGCGAUAUCGCUGAUUUCAUCCAGAAGGAGAUCCCCUCACCACCUGUACUAAUUGGACAUUCAUUUGGAGGUUUGAUUGUGCAGCAAUAUAUAUCAUGCUUGCAAGGUAGGCUCCUUCAAACUCACAUUCAUUUUUCUUGUUGAUGGCAAUUCUUUGGAUGUUUCUCCAUCUUAACUGAUUUUGUAUCAUUCAGAGGCUUAAAAGUUUCAGCUACAUAGACAUGCUAAGGCUACAUUUAAAUUGUUUCUCCAAAUGGAUUUCUUGCAUACUUACAUUUGGAGUAAAAACAGAAAGCUAAUUGGAGACACUUCAGCAUACUUGGCAGAUUUUAUCUUGACAUUAUAAAUCAGUUAAAUAGGGAGACAAACAACUAGAUUGAUUUUCCAGAGGAUCUCAAGCUUCUGUUUGCCUAGUUUCACCUUUUUACAUACGAGUCUGAGUUGUUUUGUCUAAGUGGUCAUUUGAUAUAUUUCACCCAUGCUAAGCUGAAUAGGAAUCAUAGUUUUUGACAGGUACUCCAAUUAGGUAUGAGAAUUUGUAACCCAGAGGUUAUACAAUAUUACAAUUAUACAAAUGUAACACAUCUAUGAUUCUACACUAAUUGCGCAUCUGUCAAUUCUCCCUACAUAACAAGAGAAUUCAAACAGGAUAAAAUCAGAUACUUCCUUGAGCAUUUCUAGAAAUCCUCUUUAGUCCUCUUACACAUUACGUCAAUAUCCCAACAUCAUGACUUGUCUUGAUAUGUGUUUAAAUGCUAGGCUAGGUGCCUAUAAAACAUAACAUAUUAAUUAAGUGCCCUGUUUCAAAAUUAAAAUUGCUCAUUGAUAUAGUUAGGUUAGGUAGAAGUGUAGAAUCUAUUUUACUUCUUAUCAACUGUUAAGUGUAUCACUUAAAUUCAGAAUAUUUGAAAACCAAAGUAUAAAUGAUGAUCCCUUAGUUUUAUUUCAAAGAAUAUCCUAUGUAACUUUCUUGAUUCUAGGUUCAGAACUUCAUCCAAAGCUUGCUGGUGCUGUCCUUGUAUGUUCUGUGCCUCCCUCUGGAAACAGGUAUUUCUCAAGUCAUCAAUUGCAUAUUUACAAUCUUUAUUCACUUAUCAGAAUGCAACUCAUUUCUAUCAUUUAUAUACAGUGGGUUGGUAUGGCGUUACCUUUUGACUAAACCAGUUGCUGCGGUCAAGGUAAAUGGAUCUGCAUUAUUACACUUUCUGUUGAGAUUUAUCACUAUUCACUUGGAUGUGUUGGAAUCUGUUGAGCUAACCUAGUUUCGUAAAUGUUUUGUCUAGUAUCAACAAAUUGUUCAAACAUCUAUGCUGUGUUUUAGACCUAAAUACACCAGCAAUCUCCAUUACAAAGAAGUGCUCAUUUAUUUACCAAUCUAGAAGCAAGUCAUAUUCCUUGGAUUUUCUCCAUUCUAUCUUGAGUUGUUAUUUAACAUUUAACUUUUCUGAAUUAUCCAACCCUAUAUUUGGUGAUAUUAUUUCCUUAUGCCUCACUAUUUUGCGUGUCCAUGUUGAUAAUUGUUUUGUUCAUAGACAACAGAUUGCUACUGACAUCACUAAGGUCACUAUAAACUGAACUGCGUACUUGAUAUGAUGUUAUGCACAUGUACCAUAAUAGAAACCAUCGUGUUUCUCUUAUUAUGUAUUUUUGCGAGGUUUCUAUUAAUAUCAUUUUGUAUCAGCUUAGUUAUGUAAUUGGUGACCAUCUGUAAAUUUUCAAUAAUUUUCCUAUCAGGUGACACUCAGCUUGGCUGCAAAAGCAUAUGCAAAUUCAUUGCCCCUCUGUAAGGAAACAUUUUUCUCCCCACAAAUGGAUGAUGAACUUGUGUUAAGGUAAUGAGAUCUAUGACAGUUCCUUUUGCGUUCAAAUAUAAUCUUUUGAAAAUGUUGUAUGGUGACAUCAUGAACUUGGCACCCAUGGUGCCUUAGAACUUUCUGUUUCUGAAUCUAUUAGCUAGUGAUUUAUUCAACAAUGUCUCUGGUAUAGCUGCUUCCUUGAGCCAAUAUCUCAUAGGGAUGAGCCAAUUUUGUAACCUAUAAGAUAUUUUUGUUGGCAUCAAUUCAUGCUUUUUCAGAGUAGCAGUCAUAGUAGUAAUGGUAAUCAUAGUAGUAGUGUGGUGCUCACACUUUAUUUUCUCUUCAUUCUGAUUGGAAUUUGCAUGUGCUUCACCUUCUGUCAUCCUCUUUCAUCUAAGCUUCCCCAAAUCAAAGAUUUUCAUAUGAGGUCGUCAUUGACACAUUUAUGGUUUGAAUUGUUAAUGUUUUUUUCCAAUCACAACAUAAUAUCUGCAUCACUAUCUUGAAGGUACCAAGCACUAAUGAAGGAGAGCUCAAAAUUGCCACUGUUCGACUUAAGGAAGCUAAAUGCAGCACUUCCUGUUCCUUCUGUACCAGAUAAUACAACAGAAAUUCUUGUCAUGGGCGCAAGCAAUGAUUUUAUUGUUGUGAGUGAACCUUCCUCCACCUCUUAAAUGCAUAGUAUGAUGCAAUAUCUUGCUUCUAAAAUCUUCAUUUCUGUAGCAUUUUGAUAGACCUUAUUUUAAUAAUAGUAUCCAUAUAACUGCAUUACACCGACAAAUGCCUAGGAUUUUGCAAUAUCAACAAACCAACAACUAUACAUAUUAUUGUGGUCUGUGAGAUUGAUCAUUUACAUUUUUCCCACAGUUCUGCUGAUAAAAAAAAUAACAGUAGUAUUGUUCGAAAAAUGCUCUUCAAAGAGUAGCGGUACAAAGUAUCCACAUUGUAAAUUUGAUAAAGAAGGAACUGGAAGGAACUUUUUAGUACUGCAGCAACAAGUUUUACCAUGUAACUAAUCCUUCUAUUGACUUGCCUCCAACUUAUAAUGCACACGUUCAUACACCUAUUUCUUUUGAUCAUCAGUGACUUGAAUGUUUUGCACACCAUUUUAGCAUACAAGAGAAGCAACUUGUUCCCUCCCAUCAUUAAUAACUUUGUUUCCUUAAAUUAGGAUUCUGAAGGACUUUCUGAAACUUCAAGAUUUUAUGGUGUUCAACCAGUAUGUGUGGAAGGUGUAGCUCACGAUAUGAUGUUAGAUUGCUCGUGGGAGAAAGGAGCUGAAAUAAUCUUGACGUGGUUAGAGAAACUCACGCCAUGACUAAAAUAAUUUUCAGUCCAACAGCUGUGUUCGACAUUUUGUAGCCCUGAUUCUUGUUGAUUCUUUUUGUUGGGCAUCUGUUGGUAGGGAGUUUGUAGCUAGUGCUCGGAAACUGCUUCCAGUAUUAUUGUUCAAUUGGAAUAAAGUAGAGUUUAUCCUUUCAUUGUUAGCUGGUGAGCUGGACGUAAAGCGUAGCGUCAGAAUGCAGAACGGAACGCUCAGAAUGCCAGAAUCUGAGAAUGGAACAGCUAGGCCCCCAAUCAACAGAUUCGUGGCCAAGGUCCUUGUACACACACCUUGGUUCUUCCCAAAACACUGAACUCCACACCGGGCUGGCCGAAAGCUACGUCUCAAGGUCAUGCGCUGUUGAAAUAGUGCUCUGGCCCAAACAGAUCAUUUGAUAGUUGAGCAGUUGACGAGGGACUGAGCUUUAGUUGACUUUAGGAGGGUCACAUCGGAUGUUCAUACGCUAAUUAGGACUAAACAUGAGCUAAUUAUAAAACUAACUGCAGAACCACUAUACUAAUUCACGAGAUGAAUCUAUUAAGCCUAAUAAUCCAUCAUUAGCAAAUGGUUACUGUAGCAUCAUAUUAUCAAAUCAUGAACUAAUUAGGCUUAAUAGAUUCAUCUCGCGAAUUAGACUCUAUUUGUGCAAUUAGUUUUGUAAAUAUACCAUAUUUAAUACUCCUAAUUAGUAUCCAAACAUCCGAUGUGAUGUGAUAGGUACUAAAGUUUAAGGCACUUUAAGGAUGUGUUGCCAAACAGUCUGAAAUAGUUUCAAUGGUGCUUGAGCCCAGGUGUUGUAGAAUGCAUUGAUCUGACACACUUGCAAUAGAAUGCUGCUGUUACAAAGAGGCGUACUUCGUGACAGGAUCUAAGCAAAAGAACCACCAGACCAAUGUGACUGAGAAAACACAGCACAAUGGGUGCAGUUUCAACACCAUGAGUUGCUUGGGAACGGAGGGAAAAGGAAUAUCAAACCAUGGAAGCAGCCGCCACAGAAAAAACCACGAGGAAAUUUGACACCAAUAAGGUGGGCAAUAACAUCAGAGAUCACUUGUCAUAACAGCAACCAAGUACAAAAUCUUAGCAUCACAAUUUUAGGAUCCUAAAGCAUAAACCAAAAAUACUGGAGCAUGUUCUCGGCCAAACAGCCUACAGUGAUUC